AUUGAACGCUGGCGGCAGGCCUAACACAUGCAAGUCGAGCGGAUGAAGGGAGCUUGCUCCUGGAUUCAGCGGCGGACGGGUGAGUAAUGCCUAGGAAUCUGCCUUGUAUUUGGGGAUAACGUCAGGAAACGGGCGCUAAUACCGCAUACGUCCUGAUGGUGAAAGGGGGGGAUCUUUGGACCUCACGCUAUCAGAUGAGCCUAGGUCGGAUUAGCUAGUUGGUGGGGUAAGGGCGUACCAAGGCGACGAUCCGUAACUGGUCUGAGAGGAUGAUCAGUCACACUGGAACUGAGACACGGUCCAGACUCCUACGGGAGGCAGCAGUGGGGAAUAUUGGACAAUGGGCGAAAGCCUGAUCCAGCCACGCCGCGUGUGUGAAGAAGGUCUUCGGAUUGUAAAGCACUUUUAGUUGGGAGGAAGGGAAGUAAGUUAAUCCCUUGCUGUUUUGACGUUACCAACAGAAUAAGCACCGGCUAACUUCGUG
rnacentral:rRNA from 1 species